UGACAAUCGGGUCUCAUUUUGAAGUUUAGGAUUCUGGGUUGCAUGUGACAUCCUGCUCUAAAUUACUCUGAAUGUUGUUGUUGUUGUUGUUUUUGAAGAGGAAGCUGUGUAAUGAGAGCCUCAAGCUUAAACUGAAGCAAAGGAUUUCUCAAAUCGGAUUCUGCUCGGUUCUGGAGAGCUCAGAGACGACUUUUUAAAUUACUUUGUUACUUUGCUGACACUACUUGGACCGUUAACUUUUGGAUUAAAGGUGGAUUUAUCUUCACUCCUGUUGAUCGACCUGACUGCGGCAGUGAUCUAAUCUGGGAUCAUUCGGUCCACUGCGUCUCUGAGAGCUGCCGAAGUCUUUAGAGCUGAAGAGAAGGAAGGAAUUCAGUCAGGAUUCAACGGGAGAACAUGGAGACUGUGACAGGAUUUUAAAUGUGGCUCAAAGCUGCUGUAACCUCAGUAAGACAGCAGAUGUCACAAUAACACAAGUUUUUUCUUCUUUGUCUCUUCAAUCUUCACUCAGUCUUUCUUUAUUAGUUUAUCUUCUUUCACUCAUUUU